rnacentral:miRNA from 1 species
UGGUGUCUGGGGCAGCAUUCAUGUCCCACCCCCACCA